UUUUUUUUUUUUUUUUUUUCUUUUUAGGGCCAUAUCUGUGGCAUAUGGAGAUUCCCAGGCUGGAGGUCAAAUCAGAACUACAGCCAUAGCAAUGCAGGAUCUGAGCCAACUGCAACCUACACCACAGCUCAUGUUCCUAGUCGGAUUCAUUUCCGCUUCACCAGGACAGGAACGCCUCCAAUUUUUAAGCAUUUUAAAUAAAAUAUGUAAUUUAUUCUGAUAAGCUCAGUAAAACUGUAUUAAGUCAAACAAUGAUGUUUUGAUCAUUUCAUGUACAUUUUCCCCAAGAUUCUGAAUGCCAGAAACCUUACUACAAGCUGGGGCAGGGAGUAAGAUAAGUCAGUAAUAAGAGCCGGCCCUGCCAUCCAGGAGCUACAGUGUAGCAGGAAAGAUAAGACAAGUCCCCUGAUUAGGCUGACCGGGAGGAGGGGGAGGGCAGGAGAGUCUGGAAGAGGAAGGGAGAGGCCAGCUGCCUGCAGCCCAGCGAGAGUGAGGUGCUCCAACCAAGGGGAGAAUCAGGAGCUGCUCUGAGAGGCUGGAGACACAGACUGAAAACAAUACCCAUACCCAUGAGGGCACAGAAAGCUUUGGGGUAGCAUUCUUAGAUCUAAAAUGCUGACCACUUUAGCUUAUUUUAAAACAUAUGUUUAGGAGUGGGUGAUUACCCCGGGGAAGAAAAAUCCGUAGGCUAUGUACCAAAAUGUGAAUUCUUUCAUUGGACAAAGGGCACUGAAGGCUUACAACUGUGCCAGGCAUGGGGCAAGGCACGUGGGGCACAAGGGUGAACAAGAGUGAGAAUGUCCCUGUUGACACUGAAGGGGCCAGAGGACUUUAAAGACAGAUCAGUAAGAAAAGCAGCUCAGGUAGUGUGGGGGCUGGGGGAGCUGGAGAUGACAUGGGGGACAGAGUGUCCAGGGCUACUGCGGACAGGAUGGUAGUCAGCAAAGGUUUUUCUGAGCAGGGGACACUGAGCAAAUACUUGAAUAAAUGUUAACGUUUAUUUAUCCUCUCUGGGUGGCAGAAUACGUGAGUUCGGGGUUUUCCUUUUUGCAUAUCUACAUUUCUUAAUUUUUCGGCCCUAAUAAUAUAUGAGUUGAGUCACUUCUGAAAACUCACAAAGAAAAUAAGGCAGCACCUCGGCACCUUCAGUAACUUCCAUAAACAUGAAAUCUAAGAUUUCCGGGAAAGGGAUCCCUGUCUCUUAUCGUCAAGUCACAGAUAAUCGGCCUGGGUAUCACUUACAUUCACUCAGUGGCAGUGCCGCCCACUGGCCCCCAAGCCCUGUCCUGCAAAGCCGAGGGGCCUGGGCUCUGCCUUCUCUCCUCUACACACACCCUUUUCCUGUGUACCCGUGUGCCUUUAAACAUCAGGCUCCCGACUUUGUACUUCUCAGCACUGGCUCUCCCUCUUACAUCCUAAUCUCACCUCUUCCCUGAGCCCCAAUCAUUGGCUCAAUAUCAACUCCUGGGCAUCCAAGAGGCCUUUCAGAGGCACCGCCCAAAACCCACCCGGGCUCCUCCUUCCCCCAGAUCUCUGACUCUACCCCUCGUCCCAUCAGCUCCACCCUGAAACGGAGACAGUUCACACCACCUCUGCCUCAGCUCUGCUGGUUCGGCCACCAAACUGCAAACACGUCAAGAGCUGCCUGUGACACUCCACACCCCGACCUGCAAGGUCCCAUAUAAUGUGGCCCCAGCUUCAGCUUCAGUCUUGGCUCCUUCCAGUCCCAAGCCCCUGACUCUCAGCCAUGGUGACCUUCCUCUGGGUCUCCAAAUGCACCACCUUGGGCCCACCUUCAACCAGCUUCCCCUCUACCAGGAAUAAGCUUCCCCCAGGAUCCACAGGCUCUGCUGCCUCACACCAUCGGAUAUCUGCUCGCGUAUCACCUUCUUAAGAAAGCCUGCCCUAGAAACAAACAUCUAUCUCUGCAGAGACCGAGACAAAGUCCAAAAAUAACAAAUGGGCAAAUGCACAUGCAGUCAUGAGAACAUGGAUUCUGCAUGACUGGCUCACCACAAUCGCAGGGGGAAAAUGCUGGGAUCGGGGGAGUCAAUAGCCAUCCACUAAAUAGACAGAAUUCCCGUUUACAUCUGUUAAAAAAAUGCAAGCCUUCCCUAACCGGUCCCCAAUCCUCUGACAGGUCAGCCCCUAACUCUGCUUUAUUUUCUUAGUAACACUCAGCCCCCACGUGCCAGACUGUAUAUUUAUACACUGUCUCUCUCCACUCACAGGAACGCAGGCUCCUAAAGAACAAGGGCUCUGUUUGGUUUGCUCCCCCAUCCCUAGCACUGAUGCACAACAGGCACACAAUAAAUGUGUCUGCAGUGAAGGAGUCGAGGAAUGUGCUAGGCUCAGGCACAAACACACAAUAUGAAAAAAUAGACUUGCGUUUCUAGCAGCAAGCCAAACUAAAUAUCUUAACGAUAUUCCCAUUGAAAAAUGUUAAAAGCUGAAUAAAGUAUAAUUAUAUCACUUUAUUAUAUUAUGAAAUAUAAUAAAAGAACUUAAAGAAACCAAAAAGCAAAUUUAAAGAAACCCCAGAAUAUAAGUAGAUAAAUCAGCUUUCUCUGAGGUGACAAAGAGAGACAAAGAGAAAAUACACAAGAAAGGUUAACAGACUUCAAAGAAAUCGUGGCAUCUAACUUACAUCUCACGAAGUUCCAGAAAGAAGUAACAUUUGGGAUGUGGAAGAUGGAGAUCUUGCUGUGGUGCGGUGGGACUGGCAGCAUCUCUGCAGUGCCAGGAGGCAGGUUCGGUCCCUGGCCUGGCACAGGGGGUUAAGACCUCCUUCGGUAGGUCGCAACUGCAGCUCAGAUCUGGUCCCUGGCCCAGGAACUUCCAUGUGCCGUGGAGCAGCCAGAAAGGACUAAAGACAGAAAGACUGUGGAAGAAGAUAUUUUCAAACAUAAAAUAUACACCACCCAAAAAACACUCACAGAAAGGGAACUUAUUUUUUUCUUUCACAACUGCACCUGCGGUAUAUGAACGUUCUCAGACUAGGGGUCGAAUCGGAGUUGCAUGUGAGGCCUACGCCACAGGUACGGCAAACACCGGAUCCAAGCCGCAUCUGCGACCUACACCACAGCUUGCCACAAUGCCAGAUCCAGCAAGGCUAGGGAUUAAACCCACAUCCUCACAGAGACUACAUCAGGUCCUUAACCCACUGAACCACAAUGGGAACUCCAGAAAGGGACAUUUUAAAGGAUAUACCACAGGCAAAAAGAAAUGAUCUCAGCUGGAAAGCUUGAAGCACAAGAAAGAAUGGUACGUAAAUGGAUAAAUCUAAACAGCAUUAACAAUAAGAAACAUAAUGUCUAAUUUGUAGGAUUAAAAAAUUCAGAAAAGAAGGAAUUCCCAUCAUGGUGCAGCAGAAGCAAAUCUGACUAGGAACCAUGAGGUUGCAGGUUCGCUCCCUGGCCUCACUCAGUAGGUUAAGGAUCCGGCGUUGCCGUGAGUUGUGAUGUAGGUCGCAGACAUGGCUCGAAUCUGGCGCUGCUGUGACUGUGGUGUAGGGUGGCAGCUGUAGCGCCAACUAGAUCCCUAGCCUGGAACCUCCAUAUGGCAAGGGUGCAGCCCUAAAAAGACAAAAGAAAAAAAAAAAAAAAAAAAAAUUUUUUUCAGAAAAGAAAUAUUGUACAAGCUGGGAGGGAAAUGGUUAAAAUGUUUUAAAUCCUUCCAUUAGUCAAGAGAAAAGUAAACACAUCACUUUAGACUUUGUGAAAUGUGUUUAUUAGAAAUGGAUAUGGAGGAAGUUCCCUCUGGUUCAGUGGUUUAAGGGUCCAGUGUUAUCACUGCUGUGGAACUUCCACAUACCACAGGUGUGGCCAUAAAAAGAAGAAAUAAAAAGAAUUCGAAAAGAAGAAUCAAAACGUCAUUAUUUGCAGAAGAUAAGGUUUUAGCCAGGUUGAUGGACACUGUCUAGAACGACAGCUCUCAGCUGAAGCUUAAGAGCUUCUGGUUAAGUACAAUGUUGGGUGCUCUAUGUAGGAGGGAAAGGCCAUUAUAAUUUUUACUGUACAGAAUAAGAAACUGAGACUUAGAGAGAUGAAAUAUCUUGCCCAAAGUCACAUGGCAAAUAAAUGGUUAGUUCCAAAAUUAAGUUUAUCUGUCCCCAAAGCUUAACCGCUGUGCCUGCCACCGAGUGAUAGACAAAUGACAAUGACACAUAUCAAAUAAGCACCAUCUGUGCUCUCAGAGGGGAGUAUGACUGUGUGAUUACAAGUACUGGACAUAACAAGGAGAGAUUAACCUGAGGGAAGCCAGGGACGUGCUCUGGAGCUGGGUCUGAAGCAUGCGGGAGGUGUCCAGACAGGGAAUGGUAUUCUGGUGAGUGAGACAACAGCGUGUACUAAGGCGAAAAGGUAUGAAAGAAUCAAGAAUGUGAUAGCAGGACAGUGAAAAAGGGAGUAGCUGAAUGUGAGGCAAGAUAGGUGCCGCCAAGCCGGAGGCCUCGAGGGCCACACUAGGAAUCCGCGAAGUCAUGGGGAGGCCCUGAUCAAAAGCCUGUGAAGGAAAGUGCCCUCUGGCAGGCAGCAGAGAACAGACCCCAAGCCUGAGUGCUUGAAAUGCAGCUGGUGCAAUUGGGGAACUGACUUCUUUACAUCCACUUCCAAUUCAUUUUAAUGUAAAGAGCCACACGUGGUUGCUGGUUACCACAGGGACAGUGCAGCUCUAGAGGUCAGAGACAGAAAGAGAAACGCUAGGAGACCAGGAAAGGGGAGCAAUACGAGGAAGAGCGGAGGAGGAGCAAGAUGAAAGUUCCCAUUUCUGGAGGCAAGGUAUGUGGUAAUGCCACAAAGAGAAACAGAAACUUCAGAGGAACUGGGUCAGGAUGGAAAAUAACUGGGGCCCGGGCCUGAUAAAUUUGAGGUCCCUGAAGCCCAUCUACACCUGUACCACCAUCCAGCCACGGCAAACCCCAAACACAGCGUAUUCUUUCUGACCUCCUUGGCCGCUGCAUGUACUCGCCCUCCACCUCCCCUGUCUGCCUCAGAAACCUCUCUUGCCAAAACAUCCACCCGUGAACUUUGCCCCAACCUCCCACACGCUUCGCAGCAGUCUAAGAUCCUAGAGUAACGUAAGGAGACUCAUCAGCCUGAGUUUAGAAGUCUCUUUAUCUGCCUGGACAGUGAGCUUCUCAGGAGCAAGAACCCAAUCUCAACCAUCAUGGAUCCUAGGGCCUUGCACUGUGCCUGAUGCAAAGUGAGUGCAUGAGAAACUCUGCCAAGUGGGUAAGGUGAACACAUGCAUAUGCCCGCGUGCAAAAGUGAACAAAUCAACUGAUCCAGCCAUCCAGCACUCAAGUGGACCGUCCCUCCAGGUAGUGACCUAGUGGGCGGUUGGAAGUAAGUGCAGAGCCCGCUCAGGUGUCUGCACAGUCAUCAAUGAAAGCGGUCAGGGGCUGGAACAAGUAUGGUUUACGUAAACCUCACACCAGGAGUUUUCAUCAUUGUGACAACUGCACCCAUGCCAAACUCAAACUCUUCAACCUCAGCAGUCUACUGGAUGUGCCUAAGAAUAAAUUUAAUGCCCUAGAGUUCACUAUUAAGUAUAUACUGAUUUCUCCCCCAAAAGUAGUCCUGACCCUUCUCUGCAUGGUCUUUCGGUCUUGCUGUACAACAUGCUUCCUGCGCAGUAAGGGUCAGAUCUGAUGACUGAAUGAACCUGAGCUGAACACCCCCAGAGGUGGUAAAUUAACAAAAUGUCUGUUUUCCAAGUCAACAGAUAAUUGGUCAUCGGUCCACUGUUCCCUGUGCUAUUUUUUCUUUCUGAGUUAGCUCAUACCAGAAAAGAACCAUAAAGAGAACACUUCAUUGUCUGCAAAUUGCCCCACGCUUCAUUUAUUUUGCUAAACAAGCACUACCAAUAUGUGUUAGGCACUUGAGAAUCAAAGAGAAUUCCAAAUUGGUAAGUUCAACAUUUUAGCCCUGUUAAUUUCAUCAACAACAUGUUGUCAAGUAAGCACUUUCCAGCAAAAUCAUUCUCCCUGACCUCCCUCAAGGAGGCUACAGCAGAACAAAUCCCAGUGGAAAACAAGACUGAGUAGGAAAUUCAUAGCACAGGCUUCACCUUAACAAAAAGGAAAAUUUAAAUCCCAUACUAUUGUGAUGACCCCUGGCACACAUUUCAAAUUUGGAACACUUCCAUCAGAUUCUUUAAGUUAUCCAAAAACAGAAUAUUAUGCAUCCUGAGUCCACAUAGAGAUUCAAGUCUUUAGACUCACGUAUGACGGAGUCUAAAAAGAAAAAAAAAUUUUUAAGCCAAAUUCCCAGGGCUGGAGGAGAUGCUAAAUAGACACCUCGUCUGUCACUUGGCAUCAAGGAGGAACUGUGAGAUGCAAAGCACUUACAGACGGCCCAGGUGAAACACAACUACAGUGCCUUUAACCUCUUUAGAAAGAGGACCACUGACAUCUACUCAUUCAUUCAAACGAAUGGCCCAUAUUUUCCAGUGUUACUACCCUCUCACUCCACACCCACAGUCAUCUUUACCUGCCUCCAGGGCCUACAAUCUUCCUGGGCUCCGGGGGAAGUUUCUUCAAAACCUCAGAGGAGGUUCUAAGGCCCCCACUAGAAGCUGGCUUGGAAGAAUCCCUGAGCAGAGAUGAAAAUGAAGAAGGCCCAAAGACCCCAACAGCACACAUUCUCAGGGACUUCUGAGCCAGCAGCGGCCUCAGGGCCUGCCUUUAAAUCCUUCCUCGGUCUGCAGCAAAGCCAGCACCAUAUCCCCCCUUACUUCCAAGUUUACAGGCAUAGUCAGAAUUCACACUGAUGUGGCAAAAGCUAGGGGCAAGGGAGAAUGUCAAAUCUUACUAUUGACUGAGACAAUUAUAUGUUAAUUAUAUGUUUCUAUAUGCCUAUGUAAUUUCACAUACAUUUUUAAAUAUGUAAGACCAAUUAUAUAUUAAGAAAAGGAAGCCAGUUAAAAUAUUCUACACGUAAUUAUGUAUGGAAAAUAUGACAGUACAUACUGCUAAUUGGGGAACAAAGGUAACUAAAUUAUGGGAGACGUGAACUAAGCCCCUCCCUGAGGUGGGCUCCUCACCCUUU
rnacentral:lncRNA from 1 species